CUGGGACCUCCAUAAGCAGCACCGGGAUAGUGUCGUAAAGGGUCUGUGUAUCCGGAGGAAUAUAACGGUAUCUGUCCCAAGAACGACUCCUGUCCUCCGGGCAGAGUCACUGGGAAAGUUGAGUUUACAAAAUAGGAACUCAUUGGGAGGGUAUUGUCUUCUUCGUCGAAAACCCACAGAAUCCACCGAGACAACUGGAUUGCAAUGGACUAAAGUCAACUUUUCUGAAUAUAUCUACGCAAGUUACUUAUUUGGUGAUAAGGACUUAAAGUGAACAAAUUUACACCCAGUUUGGUAUUUUUACACCCAUAUAUAGGUAGCCUACGUGUUUUGAUUUUAAUUUUUUUUGUCAUGUAUUCUAUAACAUUUUGUAAAUGUCCCCGAGUAUGGACCAUAUGUAUGUCAAAUGUGCUUUAAUGAACAUUAUAAAUAGCUACACUUUUCUAGUCAGUUUAUAUAAUGUAGCCUAUAUGGAAAAAAAUAUCGAGGGUUUUUAUUUUCAUUGACUUUUUUAUGGUGAUUUAAAUAUAUAUAUGUAUAUGAAUUUAAAACUGUAUAAAGUAUUUUCAUAUUAAUAAAAUAUAAAGAGCUCACUUGA